rnacentral:lncRNA from 1 species
CCAUAGCAGUUGGACAAGAAAUCAUUCUGCCAUGACUGAAUGAAGGAGAGGGAGACUUACACUAGCUUACACCCUUGCGUCUGAGAUCAGCAUCACUGCCUCUUCUCAGCACCCCAUUUCUAGCUGUGCCAGGAGGACAGAAACCGAUUUGCCCACUCAUAGAAGAGGUGUUCUCCCGAAAGCAGACAAGGACACUAUGUCUGCUCAUCUGGGGCAGCGCUAGCGGAGAUCCGGUCCUGCAGCCGCAACUCACACAGCCGCAUGCCCUGAAUCAGGCCAGACCACCUCACCUUGGACACCCUCCU